AGAAGCAGGCUACUAAAGAACAUGCCAGUAAUCUUAAUUUAAUAAGCAUUUUUUUAGCAUUGACUAUACCUCAGGACCUGUGCCGGGCACAUAAGUGGUCAGGAGAGUCUCAGGCUGCAAAUGUGACUGAGGCGAGAAGCAGUGACAGCCUCUCAUGCUGCAGCUAUUCCAUAACCUGCGCACUUCUGGAAAGAUGCCUUCUGCUAGUAAGAUUGACCCUGCUCCUUAUACAGUAGAGCCCGAAUAACUUUACAAACUUCAGAAGGAAAUAGAAGGGCAAUUGUGCCAGAAAGACAAUAACCACCAUGCUUUACAGAGACCUUUGAGCAGGCACCAUGAUGGAAAAUAUUUUGAAGCGAUGCAACAAAUCCAGGAGUAUGAGACAUUAAAACCCCACUUCAUUUUACAAAGCUGCCUCUGAAGAUCGGUGAAGCUUGAGACCCACAACAGAGCAGAAAAGACUUCAGAACAAAUAAACAUCAGCACUGCUAGAAAACACCUACUCACCUCUCUGAAAACUGAGCUGGGAAAACAAACAGUCUUUCUUUACAUUUUAGUGGCUCCGAAUCACCCUGCAUGAAUCUGCUGCAGUGGAGGGUCUGGCCGUUUUCCCACCAGCCCGGAGGCACAGAGAGCCAGAAUACAGCAUUCCCUCUCCAUCACAGGCAUUCACACCAGCAGUGCUGGCUACACUGUGACAGGACAGCUUGGUGGCCACACCCAAAUCCAGAAUCCAACAAUGGCACCAACAAUCCUAGGAAAUACACAACCUUCCAUUUAACUGCUUCAGAUCUCUUCCUUCCAAGCAUCUCUUCCAAAGAAAAUGCGAUCUGGAAGUCCUCCCGUACUUCUCUGUGUAUGAGUUUGUUUUGUUGUUGUUGUUUGUUUGUUUGUUUGAGAUGGAGUUUUGCUCCUGUCGCCCAGGCUGGAG
rnacentral:lncRNA from 1 species